rnacentral:misc_RNA from 1 species
GCUCCCUUUCUCAGGCCUUCAGCAAUAUUAGUUCCACCAUUUGCAACCAAAGAAUUGACAGCUUGAAGUGCAUGCUGACGGCCCGUAUCAGACAUUCGACGGAGGGGGAAGAGGCGGCGGGCAGUGGAAGAAAAGGCAAUAACUGAGAGCCUGUCAUUGGAGCCAAGGUUCUGUAUUACGAACCCCAUGGCUCGUUUUAGCAAUGCUAGCUUUGUCCCUGCCAUGCUACCACUGAUGUCAAGCACUGUGACUAGGUCAACUGGGGCACGAGGAGCUUGCGAGAUUUGAGGCAAGCUAGCCUGGUUUCUUCUAGGAUCCUGUCUUAUAAUUGUAGCAGCAGCUUUAAGAUUGAC